rnacentral:tRNA from 1 species
AGUUAGAAAGCGAACUUUUAUCGCACCUAGUUUCGACCUAGAUUUUGGCAAUUUUGCCUCUAAUUA